CCUAACACAUGCAAGUCGAACGGUAACAGGAAGAAGCAUGCUUCUUUGCUGACGAGAGGCGGACGGGUGAGUAAUGUCUGGGAAACUGCCUGAUGGAGGGGGAUAACUACUGGAAACGGUAGCUAAUACCGCAUAACGUCGCAAGACCAAAGAGGGGGACCUUCGGGCCUCUUGCCAUCGGAUGUGCCCAGAUGGGAUUAGCUAGUAGGUGGGGUAACGGCUCACCUAGGCGACGAUCCCUAGCUGGUCUGAGAGGAUGACCAGCCACACUGGAACUGAGACACGGUCCAGACUCCUACGGGAGGCAGCAGUGGGGAAUAUUGCACAAU
rnacentral:rRNA from 1 species